rnacentral:snRNA from 1 species
AUCUUUGCGCUUGGGGCAAUGACGCAGUUGGUGAGAUGAAACCGAGACGCGUCAAUUGCUGGUUGAAACUUUCCAAACAUCUAUAUUUAGAAUGUCUAAUCUACAAAGAU